CCGGACGCUUUAGGGAUGGGCUCCUGCCGGAAGUGCCUGGGCGGGCCACGUGGGUGGAGGCGGCAUGUCGGCGUCGCUCCUGCGCAAGGGCCUGGAGCUCCUUGGGGAGCCUGCGGCCUCCGGGCCCGGCCGAGGCCCCCAGAACCGGACCCCCCGGAAGCGGCAGUCCAGGAAGAACCAAGCCACGGUCAAGGGGAAGGUCACCAAGUCGGUGCUGGAGGAGUUCAAGAAGCGGCAGGCUCAGGACCACCUGCAGGAGAACCUGAGAUUCAUGAAGCAGAAACGAGUGACCGCCGACCCGAAGGUCACCACGAAGGUCCUUCUCCAGAACCAAGGCAGGAAAGCCAGGGACCGACCGGCCACCAAGCCAGAGAAGGAGAAGCCCCAGGGCACAGUGUUCACCGAGGAAGACUUCCGCAAGUUCCAGGAGGAAUAUUUUGGGAGUCCUGGAACCAAGUGAUGGAGAGGAAGGAGCGCCGGUCGGGACUGAACGUGGCCUGGGCUCCUGGGCAGUGUGGGACCACGCUCCCUUUUCAGAACAGGACAGUCCCUGGGCCUGAGUGACUGAGAGAGCCUGGCGGACGUUCAGAGACAGAAGGAGGGCGUGGGUUUCACCUCUCCCGCUCCCAGCUUUGGGAGCUGGCUUCACCUUCAUCCUGUACCCCUGCAAACCUCAGGACUGCCAGGUCCGGAGCCUCGCUGGAGGUGAUCUUUGGGCAUAGACAAGGAAGGAGGCCACGUACCGUGGGGUGAGUCCUCUACCAGUGGUGGUAACCACCCACCGUUAGUGCCAUGGGGCCCUCACAUGGAAGGGGUGCCCAAAUCUCCAGCCUCCAUCUAAGGACAAGAGGGAAUCCAAAGGCCCCGCCCCAAUUCCACUUCGGAUUGCUCUAAUUAUCAGGAAAUGCGUCCUGCCUUACGCGUCUCCCCCAGUAAGAGAGCUGGGACUACCUCAGUUUUCCAUUUGUGUGACGGCACUGAGCUUAGAGCUCGGCACACAGCAAGCACUUAAUAAACACUUUCAUUCUUCCCAUUCCUGACGUGAAGCUGAAGUAGGCAUCUCUGCAGUUUCCUCCCACCGCCCCUAAUUCGGUCUUUCAAGCCCUUCCCCAUGACAGUUACUGAGGGGAACUAAAUUUCUCCUCGUGAGUGCUGAGGCCUUCUCUCCAGUGUCGGGCCCCUGCUGGUUGCUCUUAUUCGGAUGUCCCUGCUUACCCAAACGCCCUCUCUUCUAGCAGAAGUGGGAGAGGUGGGUUUGGAACGUCAGAAGUGGUUUGUAUCCGUUUGGAUAAACGUUUCAUUUUCUCUUUUAUUGUUUUUUGUUACUAGAGAUGGCUCAUUGGGCUGGGGAUGGCCUACACCUUCACUUGGAAAUGAAAGUAAUGUUAAAAGAUCAGCACAAAUGUAAAGCUAUUUCAAAAUAAAUAAAUGUGCCCAGGGCUGAGUCCCAGCUAACCAUGA